UAAUAAGUGUUUUAUGGCACUUUGUUGUCCGACUCUGUUGCCUCCGGGGCGACCCUGCCUUCGGGCGGGGGCUCCGGGUGGACACUUCAAACUCUUGCGUAACUUUGCAGUCUGAGUAAACUUAAUUAAUAAAUUA
rnacentral:misc_RNA from 1 species